AAAGGCUGCUGGGCUGCCAUCAGGGAGAGACUAAUACUUUCUGAAAGCGUACAGUAACCUACAUCUGGGAAGUCUCUGCACACAUGAGAGCUCGUCUUUGCAUGGGAGCCUGUUGGAUCAGACGUCCCCCCGCCCCCCCUCUCUCUCUCUCUCUCCUCUGGGUUUUAAUACUACCUGAAGAUGUAAUGAGGUAUCAUACCCUCCUGCUACAGGUAAAAAACCUGAUCACACGUCCUGUUUCACAUCCAGCACCAAGCUGGACACACGCCAAGUAAGAUCAGACAGGAAGAUGAUGCACUGUGAAGCCGAAGCCUUUCCAGUAAUGUGAACGUUACUCUGAUUUAGUGGGGAAAAUACACUCAGAUGUAAUCUUAUCUGGCUUUCUCUUCAUCACAAAUUCCUCACUAAGAUGACUAUUCAAGGUGGCACCGGUAUGGGCCCCACCUCUUCAUAAAUCCACCUCCUUUGAGCUUUUGCUAAAAGGCCCUUAAAAAAAAAAAAAAAAAAAGAACAGCAACAACAACAACCAAAUGAUGAGGCAAAUGCAAAAGACAUCAACCAAAACCUCCAACUUUCAAGAGCAGACAGAUGACCAUUAGCGUGGAUUAUGCAACCAUAAGUGGCACUGUGGCUGCUGCCUGCUGCCUGCAGGCCAAACACAGCCUCAGAUGGUAAAUAUUAUUCACAGGUAGCCCGGGUAAACACAUGGAAACUACUCUGUGUUAUUUAAACGCAGUGGGUUAAACGCUGAGCAGCUACAGAAAUCAGCUGAGGGUUUGUUUGCACCAGAACUUGGGGAGGCAGUGCAUUAGCUGGGGCUGCUAGCUUCGGAUUUAACGUCCACACCACCACCUAAAAAAUAAAUAAAAAUAACAACACACCCGUGUGAAAGGCCAAGACAGCUGUGAAGCGGUUCAGCUCCAUCCAGCUCCCGCACUGUGGUCCAGCCGCAGCAGCAGGAGGAGCAGGAGGAGCAGGAGGGACAUUUUGGCUCCAACCCGGGCUGAAGGUGGUGCGAUGAGUCCCCCCCCCUCUACCCCCCCAAACCCAACCCUGGGGCGGGUCCGCAGCUCCGUCCCGCUCACGGUACAGACACACUUGAGCCAAAAUGGCCCACUCCUGUCCGGUAACCUUGUCAGACCUCUCCCGCUGAACAGCUGCGGCCCCAUCGAUCAGCACGAUGCAGCAGAGGAGCGUCAGAGGUGAUCAAUGAAACGGGAUGUGAUGUUGGUGAUGUGUGCAACCCACCCAAACUCUGUUAACCCCCCCCUAUUUACAACUGUCAGUGAUGACAAUGAAGGUCAAUAUUAACAGUUAUUUUCAUUAUUGAUUCAUAAUUACUUCAUAAAAUAGCAAAAGAAAGAAAGAAAAUACAAAGAAAUCCAUCACUUUCUGUGAGGUUGCAUCGUAAGUGACAUUUUUACUUGAUAAAUGAAAACUGAUUUACAGUGGUGGGAAAUAUUUACUCUAGUGUUGUGCUACUUUACUUGUCCUCCACUAUAUUUAUACAUUUAUUUGACAGCUGUAGUUCAUGUUUACUUUUCUUACUUUUAUCAAACAAAACUUAUGAUUAGAACAUCCAAUUUUAAACACAGCCUUAUAUUAAAACUACUCAACAGUAUAUAAUACUUAAAACAAAUAGUCAAAUAAAAUAUAGUUAAAAUGAGCUCCCUUUAAUAACAAAAUAUAUAAUAACAGAAGUACUUUUUUAUAAUACUGUAUGUUAAAUUUUGAAUGCAGGACUUUUACUUAUUAUAGAGACUUUAUAGUUAUAUGUAGUAUACAUUGUUCUGUUUCUUGUUCUUCUUCCACUGUUGAUUGAUCAUUUGAAUUCAUUCAGCUCUGGGGCAAAUUUUUCAUAGAUUAUAACAUAAUCAAUUAGUACAUUUAUCUAAGUGAUACAAAUUUAAAUAUUCUUUUGAGAUUUAACUAAAUAAAGUUUGUCCAGUGUUACAUAACAGCUCAGAUAUCUAUGAAUUCAAGGAAGCGUAAAGGAAGAGGCCUCCCGCGUGGAGCUUUUUAUAAGAUUAACUGUUUAUUCUAUUUAGAAAAUGAGUGAAUCAGAACAAAUACUUCACAUAUAAAAAGGCCUCAAACACCAACUCAAACAUGCAGAAGUCAAAAAGUCAAGUAAUAAAGAGAAGCAUCGAUAGCCCAAAACUGUUUUAUUAAAUUCAUAAAUCACCACUAUAAUGUAAAGUGAUUUCUUAAUUCACUUUAACUGUAAUUUAAUAUACAAUCUCUUAAAUACUAGCCAUGUUUAACCAUGUAGAAAGCUUAUGUCUAAAGUAGUUUUGAUUCCUUAUUUCUCGGCGUGUCCACGGCCUCCUGAAAUCAAAACCUACUGUAUUCUGCAUGUUGUUGUUGUUGUUGUUGUUGUUGUUGUUGUUGAGGCAGGCUAAACCGAAGUGGUUCACGUCUCCGGAGAUGAUGCACUGCACCUUUAACCGUUUCCCCCACAAGAGAAAAAUGCCCUUUGUGAGUCCGUAAGGAGGUAAAAAAUAAAACGGUUGACGGAGGGGAAAAAAAAAAAAAAAGAGGAUUCAUCAGUUUGCUUCGUUCUUUGAGGCUUCAUCAAAGUUCUCCACAAGAUCUGUAAAGACAACAAAAGGAGAACAUCAAGAUUUUGUUAGUGUAUCAGUGUAAAUAAACUCUUAAAUGAUCUAUAAAAUGGUGACGGUUUUACUAUAAACCCAGAUGAAGAACACUUUUAUAAACUCUUUACCUGGUACAUCGUCGUCCUCCUCUUCUGCAAUUUCCUCCUUCACUGCUUUCAUGUCCAUUGCUGCAAAAUGUUUAAAGAAUGAGUGAAUCAGUUAGUUGAGUUAAAAAUGAGCCAAAGUAAAAUUGUGUCCCAGUGUUUAAAAUCUUAUUGUGAAAUUCCAUUAAAUUUGCCUUUUUAACUUUUGUAGUGUGGCUACGUUUUAGUG